rnacentral:rRNA from 1 species
GACGAACGCUGGCGGCGUGCCUAAUACAUGCAAGUAGAACGCACAGUUUAUACCGUAGCUUGCUACACCAUAGACUGUGAGUUGCGAACGGGUGAGUAACGCGUAGGUAACCUGCCUGGUAGCGGGGGAUAACUAUUGGAAACGAUAGCUAAUACCGCAUAAUAUUGAUUAUUGCAUGAUAAUUGAUUGAAAGAUGCUAUUGCAUCACUACCAGAUGGACCUGCGCUGUAUUAGCUAGUAGGUGAGGUAACGGCUCACCUAGGCGACGAUACAUAGCCGACCUGAGAGGGUGAUCGGCCACACUGGGACUGAGACACGGCCCAGACUCCUACGGGAGGCAGCAGUAGGGAAUCUUCGGCAAUGGACGAAAGUCUGACCGAGCAACGCCGCGUGAGGGAAGAAGGUUUUCGGAUCGUAAAGCUCUGUUGUAAGAGAAGAACGGGUGUGAGAGUGGAAAGUUCACACUGUGACGGUAUCUUACCAGAAAGGGACGGCUAACUACGUG